rnacentral:rRNA from 1 species
UGCCAGCAGCCGCGGUAAUACGGAGGGUGCAAGCAUUAAUCGGAUUUAUUGGGUGUAAAGAGCGCGUAGGCGGGUCAGCAAGUCAGAUGUGAAAUUCCGGAGCUCAACUUCGGAGCUGCAUUUGAAACUAUUGAUCUUGAGGGUAGACGGAGAAAACGGAAUUCCACGUGUAGCGGUGAAAUGCGCAGAUAUGUGGAAGAACAUCGGUGGCGAAGGCGGUUUUCUAGUUUAUUCCUGACGCAGAGGCGCGAGAGCAAGGGUAGCAAACAGGAUUAGAUA